CGAAAGUGAAGAUCAUAUGACCACAGCAGCAAUGCAGCAGCAGCCACUGAAUCAGCCAUUAUAUCAAAUUUCAUUCCCUCAAGAUUUACAGAUCUUGGAUUUUAGAUGCAUUCUUUCAGUCAAGCCAUUCAAGGAGAAUGCUCAAGCAAACCAACUGAAUCCAGUUGUGUUGUGAAUUGACAAACUACUUGUCUUAGAAGAAAAAUUAGACACAGGAAAUUCAAAGCAACAGACAAAAUCCUAGUCAGAAUGGAUCAUCGUUGGACUGACCUGGAGACAAGAUGGGUUGUUACCAAUCCAUCAAAUCUGGUCCUUGCAGCAGGACAGGUGAAUUUUCACAGACCUAACAUAUGUAACACUUUCUUGUUACUCACAAAAGCCAAGAAUAAUACUUGGGGAGAAACAAAGACACAGGCUUGUGAAAAUGUCACAUGUGUAUUUUCCAGUAAAAGUUGUCUAACAGGAAAGAGGUGUCACAAUCCAUUCGGUGGAGCUGCUCAAGCAGUUAUUACUAUUCUCUGCAAGCUAAGGUUAACAGAGGUCUCUUCCAGUGCCGGAAUUUAAGAUUCAUUAUUUUAUUCCCUCAAGAUGAAAAUUCAGUCAAAAGAAAACAUUGUAAAAUGCCAGAAUCAGUUUCAAAUUAAUUAGGUGUUCCACCCUCACUCUGCAGGGAAGUCUUUUUGCCAACACCCAAAGGGAAGGGAUUGAAAGAAGAAAGAAGGUGCUUUGAAAAGAAACCAAUGUUUCGAGAUAUACAAAAAGGACAGAUUUAAGUUGCUUCAUUUCUCUGAAAAGCAUGUUAGACUUUCCCGGCCACACCCUACAUUACCUUCUGAAGACUCUAUUGUGGGCAUGAGAUAAUUUUGUUUCUGCUCUUCUUUCACUUUAAAAAAAAACAAUAACAAAAAGGCACCCUUCUUCCAGAUUGAGCAGACACGCUAGAUAAUUCCGAUUAAAUGUCAGUGAUUUGGUCUGAUUCGAACAUAAUGAGGUGUUUGUUAUUUUACAAGUCUGAUGUAGUUUCAAAACUUGGCAAUAAGGAGGAGUCUUGAAGACACUUAGCGUGGUUGUGACAACUUUCUUUUCAGGAACAUCUGAAGACUUCAGGGAAAGGCUUUCACUUCACAUAUCUUUCAUGUCAUAUAUUCCCUUUCAUACUAUGCCCUUGGCUGAAGAGUCAUCCUCAAAUUAGAAGGAUCAAGAUGGAGCCAUCAGGGAAUUAGACACAGCUCCACCCUACCAACAGUACUCUGAUGAUAUCAGGACCCGAUAUCACCUGGCUAUGGUGAUUCAGACCCUACCCUGGAGGCGCAUCAACCAACACAUGUGACGACAGAGCCAGAGAAAUGCGAAGCUGCAGAAACACCUAGCACAAGUUACCCAAGAGCUUCCUGGUUGAUCAGUGCUAACUAUUUUCAGAAGAUAAGAGCUUCCUGUCGGAAAUGUACUACUGUGAGUUAUUCAGGGGAAAAAAAAAGAGUAUUUCUGAGAUUAUUGUUGCUCUGAGACAAAGUCUUGGCCUUUCUAAAUAACUGCCUGAUAUGGUCAGUCGAUUUCAUAUUUAGGAAAGACACUGGUUUGUCUGCAGAGAGCUCCAGAGAAAUGUUCUUAAAAUACCUAGAUUUCUAUUGUAAUGAUUUAGGCAGUUAUGAUAAAAUGCUCUUCCUUCUUCAGCACUACGCUGUUGUGGCCUUUUCACAAUUCCAAAUAUAUUUUUAAAAGAUAUAGUUUUGGUGGUUAUUUACUUUUGUUAUUUUGUCAUAUUUCAC